ACAAAGCGAAGCGGACAUCGUUAACGCACGAGCAUUGCAUAUAGUUGGCGGGAUGCGCGCGACGUGCAGCCAAACCACACGCCGCGCGCCUAACCGAUUCGACGCUCCGGGCGCAUCGCGACAUCCGAGGCCGAUAAAGCCGGCCGGUGUAAAAAACUGCACCUGCGAUUUGCAUAAUUUUACACGCGUCACUUUGUCGCGUAGCGCCAGUCGGUCGACUAGCGCGUGCUGCCCAGCUGUGCGAGGCGGACCGCGCCGGCCGAUCGAUACCUCGCCGAGGUAUCGCGCGCUCGCCUAGAUAAAUUCAACGUUGCUACGCGGACGGAAUACGAAAGUACCACCAUCCGACUUCUCCCGAUUUCUCCGACAAUUAAAUUCCUUUUCCUCCCGUCUUUCUGGCAAGAGCGCGAAGCUCCUAAUGUAAUUACCAUAUUUUGAGAAGAAUCUGAGCUUGAUCGAAACGUAAUCCUAUUUCUUCGCGCAAGCGGCUUGCGAAUGCAGGAGGAAUAUUCGAUCGAAACAACUGAUUCUUUUCGCCGAGAAGUAUCUACGCUUCGCAGGCAACGAUAAGGUACCGUGAUUGAGUCAAAGGUAAUCCGUAUGAGCUCCUCUAAGCUCCUUACAUCGCCCACGUGCUAGAGCGCGGUCAUUUAAAGCGAAGCUAACUUAUGAAUGAAGUUUACUUCCUUGCUCAACUCGGUGAGAUUAAACCGUUCAUUCAAAAAAAUACUGCGACUAUAGUUCUAAAUCUGAAUGUAUUAUAAUAAUAAAGUAGAAGGUGAAAAAAA